rnacentral:miRNA from 17 species
ACUGCAAUAUAAGCACUUGAGU